CUUCGCGCAAUAUCUAUUAAAAAUUAAUCAAAAUUAGAAAACUAUUAAGUUGUCAAGUAUGAAAUUUAAUUUUUGAUUUAUAUAAUUUUUAUAUAUAAAUCUGUAUGUUCUUUAUAAUGAUUUUACUCGAUAUUUUUAAUCGAAUUGUCUAUGUAUAUAAUUUUUUGAAAUAAGGACCUUGGAAAUAAGGAAAUCACUAUUCGUGUGUAUAAGAUUGAUGUAACUCUUGGUUUCUAUACGUUGAUUAUUUACAUAGAAUCCAUUUGUAGAAUAGUUGUGUUUACUUUCGAAAUAUUACAUACUAUUUACAUCUAUUUAUAAUUGAUUAUUUUCAAAGAUCUUUCUUGAAACAUCAUUAUUAAUGGUAUCUUUUAGUCUUUCUCUUUGAUUCUUGAACGAAAGAUCGUCAAUCUUACGUUCUACAAAUCAAUGGUUGAAUUACUAAUAUUUGCACAAGUUUCUUCGAAUGUUAAAUUUAUAUUUCCAACAGAUUUUACCGCGCAUUUUCCAAAUUUAAAAUCCUAAAAGAAUUAUGAUUUAAAAAAUUUUUUUAAAUAUUGCAAAUAAUUUUACAAACAAAAUAUAAAAAUUUCGUUAGUUAUAUCUCACUAUAAAUAAAAUUCUUAUGAAAAUAUGUAUGUUGGGUUUAAAAAUAUUAAAAAAUAUCUAAAUUGUAAUUACAAAACACGAGUAUCGGGAUUAUACACGAAUCUUUUUAACGAGAUAAAUAUUUCUGAGAGUUGAAAAAGUGGGAGAACUUUUAUGAUUGCUAUUUUUUCGUUUUAUUUUAAAUAUACAAGAUAUUAAUAUAUAUGUUAAACAUUUUUUUUUAAUUCUAAGAGUUCUUAAAAUUUAUUUAUUAAUGGCUUCACAAGUAUUGUUCGGAUUUAUUUGUUUGAGCUCGAACGCGACUCAUACCCAACGCGACAAGUCUCUAUACUUUGUAAUUACAUUUUUCAUUAAUAACUUAUUAACAAAUUUAAAAAAUUGCUUAAAAUUACCUCAACGAUCAUGGUUAAGCUAUAAUGGAUUUUUUUAUCUACAAUAUUACUGCAUUUCACCUUUAUUUCUUGAUUUUUUUUAUUUACAAUCUACAACUUGCAAAAAUUGUUAUCUUCGAAUAUCUAAUCUAAGAGAUAACGAAAAGUAUCCAGAUUUUACAUUGAAAUUCUCCGUUCUGUAAGUCGAUGAUUUUGAAAAACGAUAAUUCUACGACUAACAAGUUAAAAGAGCAUACGAAUUCAGCGAUUUACGCAUCACGAAUUUAAUCCCUCGAUAAAUGCGUGCACGUGGAGGAGAAAAAGAGACGUCCAAGUACAAUGAAGUAUUCAGAGGCGGCUAAUGUGGAACAGAACAGGAAAGCCAGACGAAGUCGUGAAGUCGGCGAGGAUAAGUAGAAUAUAGCAACGGUGUUAUCCAAAACGGUUCACCGGAUAGACCUUCACCGAUCACGUUUUAGCCGCAGCGUGAACCGGCAAUAUCGAGGGAUCCUUGGUUCGAUCGAACAAUUCUACGUUCUUGCCAACUAAAAUUAGCAUGAUGCACGGAUAUUGGAAAAUAGUUUUGAAAUUCGAAAUUAUUUCAACAGUUUCCUCGAGUUAUAUUUAACAGACAAUGUUUGACGGUACGUUAGAUUUUCUUGUUAAAAUGUAGGAACGAGUUUCUCCGACGAGCUUUAGAUUAAUUUUUUUCUUGACUAACAUUUUCCGUAUUUUACCAAUUUUCGAUUACUUUCAGCUUGCGUUAAAAAAUGUUGUUACAAAUGGAUCUACCUCCUUCUCGAUUCGAUCUACCUUCUAGAUAACUCGUAUACACGUUCGGAGGCAACGUUUGCCGAUUUAGUAAAUCAUCCUGGCGAGAACGUGCUGUUAGAAACCUGCGUGCCAUCUCGCGAAACGAGUCCAGGUCGUUUUAAAAAUACGUGUGUGUAUAUGUACGUGGAAUAUACGUGGAGAAGAACCUCGGCAACGAUUCCACGAUUCUUGUUCCGCACAAAGAAAAUUCGAAAGCACCCUAGACCAACGGGAUCAUGGAAGAAAGCGGAAAGGAAAGUUUCCUUCGUGAGGGGAAGGGAUCGAAGGAUCGUUGGUGCACACGUUUCAAGGGACACGCGUUGGGGAAAAAUGUUUGGAAUUUAGAUAGAAAGGAUGUCAUCGAUAUGUUUUGACACUUUUAUUUAAAUCCACUGAGAAAUUCAUCGAUUUAUAUAAAUGACAUUAAAUAAUAUUUUUGUUGUAUACAUGUAUAUAUAUAUAUAUAUAUAUAUAUAUCAUGAAUAACAAUUUAUCGUAUGGAUGAUGUAAGAAUAAAUAAAUGAAAUAUACAAAUUAA